rnacentral:misc_RNA from 1 species
UAUAGGUUGCGAAGAAGGCAAUGCAACCUCUCUUCUCUUCCAUGCUUUCUCUUCUCUGGAAUGAUUGUUUUCUUGUUUUCACUCUUACUAAGUAUAGUCAGUAAACACUCCAAGCUAUUUCUUUAUACUUAGAUCGAGCACUUUGGAGAUGGGGACGGAGUGAGCUGCCGAUCAGAAUGUGAAAAGCAUUCAUAUUUCAGACAGCCAGCAAUAAGAUAUUGAAU